AUUGAACGCUGGCGGCAGGCUUAACACAUGCAAGUCGAGCGGAGAUGAGGUGCUUGCACCUUAUCUUAGCGGCGGACGGGUGAGUAAUGCUUAGGAAUCUGCCUAUUAGUGGGGGACAACAUUCCGAAAGGAAUGCUAAUACCGCAUACGUCCUACGGGAGAAAGCAGGGGAUCUUCGGACCUUGCGCUAAUAGAUGAGCCUAAGUCGGAUUAGCUAGUUGGUGGGGUAAAGGCCUACCAAGGCGACGAUCUGUAGCGGGUCUGAGAGGAUGAUCCGCCACACUGGGACUGAGACACGGCCCAGACUCCUACGGGAGGCAGCAGUGGGGAAUAUUGGACGAUGGGGGGAACCCUGAUCUAGCCAUGCCGCGUGUGUGAAGAAGGCCUUAUGGUUGUAAAGCACUUUAAGCGAGGAGGAGGCUACUGAGACUAAUACUCUUGGAUAGUGGACGUUACUCGCAGAAUAAGCACCGGCUAACUCUGUGCCAGCCGCCGCAGUAACAC
rnacentral:rRNA from 1 species